CACGCNGUAAACGCUGAGUGCUAGGUGUUGGGUCCUUUCCGGGACUUAGUGCCGACGCUAACGCAUUAAGCACUCCGCCUGGGGAGUACGACCGCAAGGUUGAAACUCAAAGGAAUUGACGGGGGCCCGCACAAGCGGUGGAGCAUGUGGUUUAAUUCGAAGCAACGCGAAGAACCUUACCAGGUCUUGACAUCCCGAUGCCCGCUCUAGAGAUAGAGUUUUACUUUUUGUACAUCGGAGACAGGUGGUGCAUGGUUGUCGUCAGCUCGUGUCGUGAGAUGUUGGGUNNNNNNNNNNNNNCGAGCGCAACCCUUAUUGUUAGUUGCCAUCAUUAAGUUGGGCACUCUAGCGAGACUGCCGGUAAUAAACCGGAGGAAGGUGGGGAUGACGUCAAAUCAUCAUGCCCCUUAUGACCUGGGCUACACACGUGCUACAAUGGUUGGUACAACGAGUCGCAGGCCGGUGACGGCAAGCUAAUCUCUGAAAGCCAAUCUCAGUUCGGAUUGUAGGCUGCAACUCGCCUACAUGAAGUCGGAAUCGCUAGUAAUCGCGGAUCAGCACGCCGCGGUGAAUACGUUCCCGGGCCUUG
rnacentral:rRNA from 1 species